rnacentral:rRNA from 1 species
UACGAAGGGGGCUAGCGUUGUUCGGAAUUACUGGGCGUAAAGCGCACGUAGGCGGGCUUUUAAGUCAGGGGUGAAAUCCCGGGGCUCAACCUCGGAACUGCCUUUGAUACUGGAAGUCUUGAGUUCGAGAGAGGUGAGCGGAAUUGCGAGUGUAGAGGUGAAAUUCGUAGAUAUUCGCAGGAACACCAGUGGCGAAGGCGGCUCACUGGCUCGAUACUGACGCUGAGGUGCGAGAGCGUGGGGAGCAAACAGG